UAUGAAACAACCUCACUGGGAGGGGAUAGCUCAUCAUCACCUUCUACUUAACCAGGUUUAGAAUCCCAUAGAAAAACACCUCUGGAAAUAGGAGCUACCAGAACAUAGCUGUACUUAACAAAAUUGAAUGUGUACUGGUGUUUUGCUAGCAUGUUUGCCUGUGCACCAUGUGCUUAACGGAUGGAGGAAGGCCAGAGGAGGUUGUCAAAUCCUCUAGAAGUGGAGUUACAGUUGGUUGUGAGCCACCAGGAGCUGCACUGUGGCCAAACAUCACUAUUUCUUCAGGUUUGGGAACAAACCGAGACUGUUUUCCUCCUGAGAAGCAAACACUUCAGAUAACUAGAGGCAGUUCUUAGAAAGAAUGUGGAUGGAUCUCCCCGCCUCCGAAGCUAAUCUGGAUGCCUGGCAAGUCUAUUUAUGAGGAAAGAGGUUCUUGGUCUUAUAGGAAUUUGGGAACAGAAUUCAGAAGGAAGCUUGGGGACAAUAUAGUUUGAAAGAAGGGCAAAGCAGCAGUCUUGGGAAUGAAGAUCUUCACCCAGCUACACACUGGAAUGGAGGGGUCUUCAGUGUCAGGACACAUACAGUUGAGAUCUUGAUCAGAAUCUGUGGAGAUAGCACUGCUUGUGCCAACUCCUUCCAGAGUGACCAAAAGCCCGGAGGUUCUGCAGAACUGGUUCUUAUGCACCCUAACCCGACACCGAAUGUGAUUGAGCCUUGUCUCCUCCCUGUGUUCUGUUUAUACUAUGUCUCGGGUACAGCCAUAUUUCACCUCAAGCUGAGGUGCUAUAAAUAAAGAGCUAGGACAUGUGCCAGCCUGUCUGGCAGGAACGGCGGUAUUCUAAAGAGAA